CUGUCCCCACUGCAAGUCCUGUCCGACCUCCAUGGUUACUCUGACAGCCUGUGGCGAGCCUUGCUUUGCAACAGACAGAUUUAGAAGACCUUCACUGAAUGACAGCAGAUGCCCUGAACCUAAGAAUAAGAGGAGAGAGCCUGGUUCUACAGACUCAGGGAGUAAUACUCCUUUCACCAAAAAACUUACUGCCUGAAGUUGAAGA
rnacentral:lncRNA from 10 species